rnacentral:lncRNA from 1 species
UCCUCACCAUUUUUGUAAAAUAAUGUAUCAAUAAUUAUGAUGGGGAUUUAUUUGCGUGUGGAUAUUGUCUAGACGACAAUAUCUGUAUUUAAACUCAUAGUAUGUAUUGUCGUAUUUCACACGACAUUUGUAUUAUUGAAGUUGUAGUUAUUUCUGUACCAUGUAUUUGGCGACUCAGAAUGGGUUGGGUGGAAUGGACCUAUUUUGGGG